AUUAAAGUGGCAGAGCCAGAUAAUUGCAAAAGACCUAAAACCUUUACCCCGAGAGUUUAAAUCUCUCCUUUAAUA
rnacentral:tRNA from 1 species